rnacentral:lncRNA from 1 species
AGGCCUGACUUAGGAGGUGCAGCUAGAUACAUGAAAUAGCUUCUUUAAAACAGUGCCUCCCCAGAAGACCCCUCUAAUCUCCCCAAGGAUCUGUAGCAAUAGCUUGGGGUGGAAUUUUCCAUUCAAUUCAAGACGACGCUGAGGAAGUCCGGGGCUCUGGGAGAUUGGGAGACGAUAGGGGACGCUGCCAGGGUAACUCGGAUGAGCACUGACUGGUUUUUCAGUCGGAUUCCUACAGCAAUUCCUCAUUCAGGAGGUCGUUUCAGGCAGCACCCUGGACUCCCUCAGGUACCCAGGGCGGUCCCCCCUACCCCCCAAGCUCUUUCCUUCAGGAUGUGCUCCACAGCAAAUGCCAUGCCAGACGCUGUGCUCACGGCAAACUAG